rnacentral:rRNA from 1 species
CCCUUAGAUGUCCGGGGCCGCACGCGCGCUACACUGAAGGAAUCAGCGUGGCUUUCUCCCUGACCCGAAAGGGUUGGGAAACCCGUUGAAUCUCCUUCGUGAUAGGGAUUGGGGCUUGAAAUUGUUCCCCAUGAACGAGGAAUUCCCAGUAAGCGCGAGUCAUAAGCUCGCGUUGAUUACGUCCCUGCCCUUUGUACACACCGCCCGUCGCUACUACCGAUUGAACGGUUUAGUGAGGGCCUCGGAUUGGUCUCGGCCCGCUCUUUACCGGGCGGCGCCGUUGGUCGAGAAGACGCUCGAACUUGAUCGUUUAGAGGAAUUAAAAGUCGUAACA